rnacentral:rRNA from 1 species
GCGGCUACUGCUAUCAGGUUUCGACUAAGCCAUGCGAGUCAAGGGGUCGUAAGACACCGGCGUACUGCUCAGUAACACGCGGACAAUCUACCCCCAGGUGGAGGAUAACCUCGGGAAACUGAGGCUAAUACCCCAUAGUUGUCAUGUGCUGGAAUGCUUUGACGAUGAAAGAAUUUCGCCUGAGGAUGAGUCUGCGGCCUAUCAGGUAGUAUGUGGUGUAAAGGACCACAUAGCCUAAGACGGGUACGGGCCUUGAAAGAGGGAGCCCGGAGAUGGACUCUGAGACACUAGUCCAGGCCCUACGGGGCGCAGCAGGCGCGAAAACUGUGCAAUGCGCGCAAGCGCGACACGGGAAGCCUGAGUGCCUUAACUAUGUUAAGGCUUUUCUUGAUCCUAAAAAGCUCAAGGAAUAAGAGCUGGGUAGGACGGGUGCCAGCCGCCGCGGUAACACCCGCGGCUCGAGUGGUAGUCACUUUUAUUGAGCCUAAAGCGUUUGUAGCCGGAUUUGUAAAUCUCUAGGAAAAUACUUCUGCUUAACUGAAGAAAUUUUGGAGAGACUGCAAAUCUAGGGACCGGGUGAGGUUGAAUGUACUUCUGGGGUAGGGGUAAAAUCCUGUAAUCCUGGAAGGACGACCGGUGGCGAAGGCGUUCAACUAGAACGGAUCCGACGGUGAGGAACGAAGGCUAGGGGAGCAAACCGGAUUAGAUACCCGGGUAGUCCUAGCUGUAAACACUGCCCACUUGGUGUUGCAUCUCCGGUAAGGGGGUGCAGUGCCGUAGCGAAGGUGUUAAGUGGGCCGCUUGGGGAGUAUGGUCGCAAGGCUGAAACUUAA